CUGCUGGGCCAGAGGAUGCAAAAUCCCAGGGUAACACGGGGGAAUGAGUGCAGGGCUGUGUGUGUGAGUGCAGGGCUGUGUGUGAGUGCAGGGCUGUGUGUGAGUGCAGGGCUGUGUGUGUGAGUGCAGGGCUGUGUGUGAGUGCAGGGCUGUGUGUGAGUGCAGGGCUGUGUGUGAGUGCAGGGCUGUGUGUGUGAGUGCAGGGCUGUGUGUGAGUGCAGGGCUGUGUGUGUGUGAGUGCAGGGCUGGCUGUGUGUGAGUGCAGGGCUGUGUGUGAGUGCAGGGCUGUGUGUGUGUGAGUGCAGGGCUGUGUGUGAGUGCAGGGCUGGCUGUGUGUGAGUGCAGGGCUGUGUGUGAGUGCAGGGCUGUGUGUGUGAGUGCAGGGCUGUGUGUGAGUGCAGGGCUGGCUGUGUGUGAGUGCAGGGCUGUGUGUGAGUGAGUGCAGGGCUGUGUGUGCGUGAGUGCAGGGCUGUGUGUGCGUGAGUGCAGGGCUG